UAGACGGAAGCCUGUUGGUUUAGGCGUCUAGCUGUUAACUAGAAUAUUGUGGGAUCGAGGCCCAUCUGUCUAG
rnacentral:tRNA from 1 species